CUUGGCGGCAGGGGAGACGCUACGCUCGUCGUCGUUUAAUUUUCUGUCGGUCAGAUCGACGGCCUGUGUCAUCGUCUCGGAAGUAUGCCAGGCGAUUUGGGACAUACUUGGACCCAUAUACGUGGCACUUCCGUCAACUCAGAAUGAAUGGUCAAAGGUUGCGAGAGACUUCCAAGAGAAGUGGGAUAUGCCACACUGCCUGGGUGCCAUAGACGGCAAACAUGUG